rnacentral:rRNA from 1 species
CGGAUAAAAGGGACUCCGGGGAUAACAGGCUGAUACCGCCCAAGAGUUCAUAUCGACGGCGGUGUUGGGCACCUCGAUGUCGGCUCAUCACAUCCUGGGGCUGAAGUAGGUCCCAAGGGUAUGGCUGUUCGCCAUUUAAAGUGGUACGCGAGCUGGGUUUAGAACGUCGUGAGACAGUUCGGUCCCUAUCUGCCGUGGGCGCUGGAGAACUGAGGGGGGCUGCUCCUAGUACGAGAGGACCGGAGUGGACGUAUCCACUGGUGUUCGGGUUGUCUUGCCAAGGGCAUUGGCCGGUAGCUAAAUGCGGAAGAGAUAAGUGCUGGAAGCAUCUAAGCA